AGUCGAGCGCCCAGCAAUGGGAGCGGCAGACGGGUGAGUAACACGUGGGGAUCUACCCAAUGGUACGGAAUAACCCAGGGAAACUUGGACUAAUACCGUAUGUGCCCUUCGGGGGAAAGAUUUAUCGCCAUUGGAUGAACCCGCGUCGGAUUAGCUAGUUGGUGAGGUAAAGGCUCACCAAGGCGACGAUCCGUAGCUGGUCUGAGAGGAUGAUCAGCCACACUGGGACUGAGACACGGCCCAGACUCCUACGGGAGGCAGCAGUGGGGAAUAUUGGACAAUGGGCGCAAGCCUGAUCCAGCCAUGCCGCGUGUGUGAUGAAGGCCUUAGGGUUGUAAAGCACUUUCGCCGGUGAAGAUAAUGACGGUAACCGGAGAAGAAGCCCCGGCU
rnacentral:rRNA from 1 species